rnacentral:misc_RNA from 1 species
AUACACAAACAAAAUAUCCUUAUCAUUUGCUUUUCAAUUUUCCCCCUAGUUGGUACUUCAAAUUGAACAUAACAUCAUCUACAAUAAGGUACAGUCACAAUCCCUUCACAUAAUCCAUUCUCACCUUUGGCAUUUUAUAAAUCUACACAAAAUCAUCACACAUCAAAGGGACUCCUCAAAUUUACAUCAAACUCGCGAUAUCAUCUACGUAUGACACUACCACUAUGAGUAUCUUUCUGUCCACUUACGACGUCUGAAAACUGUAAAUAGUCACCUCAGAUAAUCCCAGUGGAAAUGCUUGAAGUUGCAUUGAUCUUCAGAGAAUGCUCAGGAACAUAUGUCACACCUUUCUCCUUUACAUCAAUCUGUAAAGAAUCAAGUGUGAUUAUACCAUCCGUCAGGGGAAGUACUUCAAGUUUGAUGGUUGCUGUAGAUUGAGCGGGCACACAUCCCAAGGGAACUCUGCUCUGCAACCAUAGAUGUGUACAACCUGAAUCGCCACUUGGAAGCACAUCAGGUAUGGGAGUGGCUCUCUCACUAAAUGAAACUGAUUGAGAAAGAUUUUUCCCUUCCGGUACUUGAUUUACUGAUACCGAGCUAUUGCUCGGAGCAGCACUAAUUUGCUUAUCAAUACUCACUCUCUCCGUAAAAUCAGAAGAACCAAUGAAGGGACUCAUUGGUGAUGUCGGUGAAGUACUCAAUGACACCACAGAAGGUGGGGAAGUAAAGGAAGCAGGAGCAAGCACUGUCAUUGUCAGAUCUUGUGAAGUCAGGUUUGAUGCCUGAAGAGUUAAGACCUGUACUGGAAGCUGAGCACCUCCUUCAAAAGAUCCAAGGGUUUGCUGUGUCAUUUCAGAAGCAACAGAGAUCAUAAGGUCCCUAGAAAUUCGUGGUCUCCAACUCGUUGGCUGCUUGAAGAACAACUUUGAUUCAGUGUAAUUGCAUCGACAUGAUACCAGAACUGCAUAUUUAUCAGUAGGUGACCCAAUAUUUCUUUCCUCAAUAAUGGGAAGAUGGUGCCAUGUUGAUGAUGCACUUCUAGAAUGUACUCGUGAAGAUCGAAAAGUUUUUCCACUAUGACCGUUGGAACUCUUCAAGAUGGGAUUGACUGGUCUGAGAAUGAAAGAAUGUUCUUCACCUCUCCUGAGGGCCAAAUUUGGCAAACUAUAGUCUUCACCAGCUUCAAUACAUGCAAUUGGUAAUGAUAAAGGAGGCCCACUUUUUGAAGCUUCUUCAAAAAUGAUUGUUACGGCAUCUAUGUAGACAACAAUAUCAGGUGCAUGUGUUGGACAGACAUUCUUGAUGUGGACACAAAGGAGAUCAUCUGUAUUGCAGUCAGCAGCA